AUGAGGGUCCCCACUCAGCUCCUGGAGUUGUUGCUGCUCUGGCUCACUGGUGCCAGUUGUGACAUCCAGUUGACUCAGUCUCCAGCCUCCUUAUUUGCAUCUCUGAGAGACAGUGUCACCAUCACAUGCCAGGCAAAUCAGGAUAUUGAACAGAGUUUAGUAUGGUAUCAGCAGAAACCAGGGGAACCUCCUAAGCUUCUGAUCUACAGUGCAAACAGCUUGAGAGAUGGGGUCCCAUCAAGGUUCAGUGGCAGUGGAUCUGGACAACAGUUUUUUCUCAAGAUCAGCAACCUGCAGUCUGAAGAUGUUGGAACCUAUUACUGUCAACAUGGUUACAGUAUUCCUCCCACAGUGAUUCAAGCCAUGACAUGA